GGAGAAGCGGCCAGGGCAAGCGGAAGGAAGCCGCGCAGCGAGCCUCCCUUGAGUGUCGCCAGGCGGCUGGGCGCCCGUGGGCGGCCCUGGGGACCAGGCCCUGGGGACCAGGCCGUGCGCAGCGCAGCCCCGCCGCGGGCCCUGCCUCCCCUUGCGGAGGCCGCCCUGAGCUCCGCUCCCUUGGCCGCUUAUUCUCGCCUCUGUCUUUCCCAAGCCGGGCAGGACAUCAGACGUGCCCAGGGAGUGCUCUCCAAGACGCUCUGGGGCCGAGCCUGAGGGUCAGGCGGAGGUUUCAGCUAUGGUGCUCCUCAGCUGUGCGUGCAAAGAUUUAUGUACGGAG
rnacentral:lncRNA from 1 species